CUGCUGUUUUUGCAGUUCCAGUCUACUUCGUAGUAAUCACAGGGCUAUGCUGCCUAACCUCUUACCUGACAUUCCUACUCUCGCCCUCCUGCCUCCACACACUUGAAAUGGCACCUGAACAGAAAUAUGGUUCUUGUUUGACAGACCACCGAACUAAGGCUAUGCUUCAGUUUCAGUCACAUAAGGAGUGAUUUGAUGCUGUUCUUUGGACUUGCAAAACUAUUAAGAGUCAGAUUACUUCCUAGAUUAAAGAACUUCUCAUCAAUAAAACAUAUUUCAU